rnacentral:rRNA from 1 species
CUACGGGACGCUGCAGUGGGGAAUCUUAGACAAUGGGCGCAAGCCUGAUCUAGCCAUGCCGCGUGAGUGACGAAGGCCUUAGGGUCGUAAAGCUCUUUCGCUGGGGAAGAUAAUGACGGUACCCAGUAAAGAAACCCCGGCUAACUCCGUGCCAGCAGCCGCGGUAAUACGGAGGGGGUUAGCGUUGUUCGGAAUUACUGGGCGUAAAGCGCGCGUAGGCGGAUCAGAAAGUUGGGGGUGAAAUCCCGGGGCUCAACCCCGGAACUGCCUUCAAAACUCCUGGUCUUGAGUUCGAGAGAGGUGAGUGGAAUUCCGAGUGUAGAGGUGAAAUUCGUAGAUAUUCGGAGGAACACCAGUGGCGAAGGCGGCUCACUGGCUCGAUACUGACGCUGAGGUGCGAAAGCGUGGGGAGCAAACAGGAUUAGAUACCCCUGUAGUC